rnacentral:rRNA from 1 species
CCGGAUCGUAAAGCUCUGUUGUUAGGGAAGAACAAGUGCCGUUCAAAUAGGGCGGCACCUUGACGGUACCUAACCAGAAAGCCACGGCUAACUACGUGCCAGCAGCCGCGGUAAUACGUAGGUGGCAAGCGUUGUCCGGAAUUAUUGGGCGUAAAGGGCUCGCAGGCGGUUUCUUAAGUCUGAUGUGAAAGCCCCCGGCUCAACCGGGGAGGGUCAUUGGAAACUGGGGAACUUGAGUGCAGAAGAGGAGAGUGGAAUUCCACGUGUAGCGGUGAAAUGCGUAGAGAUGUGGAGGAACACCAGUGGCGAAGGCGACUCUCUGGUCUGUAACUGACGCUGAGGAGCGAAAGCGUGGGGAGCGAACAGGAUUAGAUACCCUGGUAGUCCACGCCGUAAACGAUGAGUGCUAAGUGUUAGGGGGUUUCCGCCCCUUAGUGCUGCAGCUAACGCAUUAAGCAC